UCAGGUGCCAGUACUGUCCUGCAGGUGCCAAAUCUUGUCAGAUCUUGGAUGCUAAACAGGGCCGGACCUGGUUAGUACUUGGAUGGGAGACCUCUGUGGUUCCACAAGCCAGUGUGGU
rnacentral:rRNA from 12 species